rnacentral:rRNA from 1 species
CCCUUUGAUACUCUGGGCGGCACGCGCGCUACACUGGUUUAUAUAACGUGUAAUUUGGACGAUAGUCUGUAUAAAUCACUAAUAUAAAACCGUGAAUGGGAUAGUUUAUUGCAACUUACAAACUUUAACUAGGAAUCCCUUGUAGAAGUAGUGAAUUAUACUGCUUCGAAUACGUCCCUGCCGAUUGUACACACCGCCCGUCGCUUCUUCCGACUGGUACUCAUUGUGAAUUGCGAGGAGAUUCUGUCAAAUCGUUGUAAAUGCUGGGUAUUGGAGGAAGAAAAAGUCGUAACA